AACAGAGGGUUUGAAUUCUGGCUCGGAUUGAACACUGGCGGGAUGCUUUACACAUGCAAGUCCAGACGGCAGCACGGACUUCGGUCUGGUGGCGAGUGGCGAACAGGUGAGUAAUGUAUCGGAACGUGCCUAGUAGCGGGGGAUAACUACGCGAAAGCGUAGCUAAUACCGCAUACACCAGCCAGGAAGCAGGGGACAGCCGGGCCUCGCACUAUUAGAGCAGCCGAUGAUAUCGGAUUAGCUAGUUGGUGGGGUAACGGCUCACCAAGGCGACGAUCCGUAGCUGGUUUGAGAGGACGACCAACCACACUGGGACUAGAACGUGAACUCUACGAGGAGCAGCAGUGAGGGAAUUUUGGACAAUGGGGGAAACCUGAUCCAGCCAUCCCGCGUGUGCGAUGAAAGGCCUUCGGCAAGCACUUUUGGCAGGAAGAAACUGGCACGGGAUAAUACCCGUGCAACUGACGGUACAGAAUAAGCACCGGCUAACUACAUGCCAGCAAUACGCGGUAAAUACGUAGGGUGCAAGCGUUAAUCGGAAUUACUGGGCGUAAGGCGUGCGCAGGCGGUUCGGAAAGAAGAUGUGAAGUCCCAGAGCUUAACUUUGGAACUGCAUUUUAACUACCGAGCUAGAGUGUGUCAGAGGGGUGGAAUUCCGCGUGGCAGUGAAAUGCGUAGAUAUGCCGGAGGAACACCGAUGGCGAAACGGCCUCUGGGAUAACACUGACGCUCAUGCGAAACGUGAGCAAACAGUUAGAUACCCUGGUAGUCCACGCCCUAAACGAUGUCAACUAGCUGUUGGGGCCUUCGGGCCUUGGUAGCGCAACUAACGCGUGAAGUUGACCGCCUGGGGGAAUUACAGUCGCAAGAUUAAAGCUCAAAGGAAUUGACGAGGACCCGCACAAGCGGUGAAUCAGUGUGGACGGAUGAACUCGAUGCAACGCGAAAACUGCCUUUACCUACCCUUGACAUAUCUGGAAUCCCGAAGAGAUUUAGGAGUGCUCGCAAGAGAACCGGAGCUUACAGGUGCUGCAUGGCUGUCGUCAGCUCGAUGUCGUGAGAUGGUGGGUUAAGUCCCGCAACGAGCGCAGCCCUUGUCAUUAGUCGCUACGAAAGGGCACUCUAAUGAGACUGCCGGUGACAAACCGGAGGAAGGUGGGGAUGACGUCAGGAUAUCAUGGCCCUUAUGGGUAGGGCUUCACACGUCAUACAAUGGUCGGGACAGAGGGUCGCCAACCCGCGAGGGGAGCCAAACCCAGAAACCCGAUCGUAGAUCCGGAUCGCAGUCUGCAACUCGAGCUGCGUGAAGUCGGAAUCUUUAUUUAAGUAAUCGCGGAUCAGCAUGUCGCGGUGAAUACGUUCCCAGGUCUUGUACACCGCCCGUCACCAUGGGGAGUGGGUUUUACCCGAAGUAGUUAGCCUAACCGUAAGGAGGGCGAUUACCACGGUAGGAUUCAUGACUGGGGUGAAGUCGUAACAAGGGUAA
rnacentral:rRNA from 1 species